ACAACACCAACAACAACAACAACAACAACAGCAAAGCCUCCAACAACAACAGUUCCUAAAACUACAAAACCUCCAAAUGCCUGUGACUCAAGCCCGUGUAAGGAUGGAAGCACCUGCGAGCCUCGUUUCGGUAUGGAGUUUGUGUGUUUGUGUCUGGCGGGUGACGACUACGAUUAUACCAGCAAACAUUGUGAGAAGGCCAAAGUGUUCCCUGGGGAGCUUUCCCUAUCUGCAUUGAUACAUGUACCUGAAUUGGACGACAAGACUUCUGAGGUUUUUAAAACAACAUCUAAAAAAAUUACCGAUGAGGUAAGCAGUUCUCCUCUUUGAAACU